AUUUGGUCCUUUUACUCAGAUGGAACUGCAGAUGUGGCUGCCACAUGAAUUAGCGGGACAUCUCCUAGUACAAGAGCUUGGCAUGAGGCCUACCACAGAACAGAACCUGCAUGACUGCUGAAGGAAUGAACAGAAAUGACUCCUUGCCUUCAAACCAGGAGGGAAACAGCGGAUUCCAGGCUGCAAUUUGAAGAAACCUCUGUCCUCGUCUAGCACCAGGAUCCUCACGGUUGCAUCACAGCAAGGGAACCCCAAGCCCAGAGGAGCUCGGAUGCUGCCCACGGUCAAAACUGCUAGUCCGGCACUCCGAGGACAGGGACCCGUCGGCGGGGGCCUGUUCUAGGAGUCCCGGCUAUGCCGCCGCAACGCAGGCUGUGCCUUAGAAAUAGAGCCCCGCACCCAAAGCGCGGCUGCCCGCGGGAAACCCGCGGCGCGCAGGUGAGGGGCCACUAGGAACCGCCCUUCCCUUUGUGACUGCGGGCUACCAGCCGCUGGCACCGGAAGUCCGCCCGCGGCCUCUCUAGGACGCCCCGCUUGGCGCUCGGUGCCCUUAACCCUUGCGACGUUGCGGCAAGCUCUCCUCGCGCGCUGCCGCUUCCCAGGCACUCUGCUCGCCUUUGUUUCUUCUGGGCUUCGAAAAGGCUGAGGGGAGAAGGGCCUGGGGAUCCCAUUAUAUGGACAAGACCAGUGAAGCAGCCGAGCCAGAGCCGGGGCGUCCCGUUAUGGGCUAUUGUCAUUUAUCCCAAAUAGCCUCCCUACAGCUCCCUCAUAAUACCUUGAAAUACAUACAUUAAAACUUCAACUGGGGUUAUUACAGAUUACAACAGAUUUUACUUUCUUUUCUUUGGCACUGCAUUUCCUACAUUAUCUAGAGUGCCUGUGAUCCUACGGGGGAUGCUAAAAAUGAAAGGUUGGAAAUAAUUCACCUUACAAAAAAUUGGUUUACAUAUAUCUUGUCACAUGCAUGUUCUGCACUUGGUUCACAUAUGGCUCAAAGACAGAUGACCCCAAAGAUAAGGAAAAGAUUAUUGGCUCCAUGUUUCAGAUGAGACAACUAAGGUUCAGAGAGGGAAGUGACUUGCCCAAGAUCACACAGUACUUUAUCAGCUGAAUCGGGAAAACCUCCAUUCCUAUUCUGUGGCCUGACCCUUCACUACAGAGCUGCCUCCUAGAGCUGAUAGGAGGAAUGGAGGGGAACCACAGAAAAGUCACUGCCAACUGAAAAUUAAUAGACAAAUGUAAGGGAAUGGAAAGUAAGUUACUGUGCUCUACCCUUGGGCUUGCCCAGUGUGGGGCCCUGGGUCACUAAUCAGAUCCAGCCCUACCUUCACAGCAGGGCAGGGACCCAGUCAAGUGAUGUGGGGAUUCUGCCUGUUGCUGAGUAUGCCUUUUCCACUUAUGCCUUUGAAACUAGGAAAACAACCACAAGAUGGGUUUGGGGACCCAUUGGCCCACUGUGAGAUGGACCUGAGCUCAGUGAGGUUUUGGGUCUCAGGGAAUCAAGAGUUGAAUGCUAAAGUACACAUGUGACCAGGAGUAGGAUUUUGCCAGUGGAGAAAGGGAUAUGUGCUUGCUUUUGUUCCUUUAUUCAUUCACCAUUAGUGAACACCUACUGUUUACCAGGUACUGCACGAGGCCCUAGGAGGACAGAAAUGAACAACAUGGCCUUAUUCUAGCAGGGGAAAUGAGAUGUGAGGUUAAAGAGGAAGUACAGUGACUGACUAGGUUCUGACCUAGUUUGAGGGUCAGGGAACCUUCCUGAAGGCUGUGAGAUCUAAGCCAAGGCCUGGAAGAUAAGGAGGCUUUGGUGAGGAAGAAAGAGAAAGGGAGGAAGGGAAGAGUUUCCCAGACAAAACGAGCAACAAGUGCUAAGAAGGAAACUAGCCUGGCCAGCCUCAGUGUGUUUAAAGUUCCAUGUGUUAGAUGGU